rnacentral:rRNA from 1 species
UACGAAGGGGGCUAGCGUUGCUCGGAAUCACUGGGCGUAAAGGGUGCGUAGGCGGGUUUUUAAGUCAGAGGUGAAAUCCUGGAGCUCAACUCCAGAACUGCCUUUGAUACUGAAAGUCUUGAGUAUGGGAGAGGUGAGUGGAACUGCGAGUGUAGAGGUGAAAUUCGUAGAUAUUCGCAAGAACACCAGUGGCGAAGGCGGCUCACUGGCCCGGUACUGACGCUGAGGUGCGGAAGCGUGGGGAGCAAACAGG